GCAAGUCGAACGCGAACGAUUUCUUCGGACUUUUAGUCGAGUGGCGCACGGGUGAGUAACGCGUAAGUAAUCUACCCUGGUAUCUGGGAUAACCCACCGAAAGGUGUGCUAAUACCGGAUACGCUGAUUUAUCAGGAAAGGUGGCCUCUUCAUGAAAGCUACUGUACCAGGAGGAGCUUGCGUACCAUUAGCUAGUUGGUAGGGUAAUGGCCUACCAAGGCGACGAUGGUUAGCGGGUCUGAGAGGAUGAUC
rnacentral:rRNA from 1 species